rnacentral:rRNA from 2 species
ACGGGUGCUAUACAUGCAGUCGAGCGGACAGAAGGGAGCUUGCUCCCGGACGUUAGCGGCGGACGGGUGAGUAACACGUAGGUAACCUGCCCCUUAGACUGGGAUAACUCCGAGAAACCGGAGCUAAUACGGGAUAAUAAAGAGAAUCACCUGAUUCUCUUUUGAAAGACGGUUUCGGCUGUCACUAAGGGAUGGGCCUGCGGCGCAUUAGCUAGUUGGUAAGGUAACGGCUUACCAAGGCGACGAUGCGUAGCCGACCUGAGAGGGUGAUCGGCCACACUGGGACUGAGACACGGCCCAGACUCCUACGGGAGGCAGCAGUAGGGAAUCUUCCGCAAUGGACGAAAGUCUGACGGAGCAACGCCGCGUGAGUGAGGAAGGCCUUCGGGUCGUAAAGCUCUGUUGUGAGGGAAGAACAAGUACCGGGGUAACUGCCGGUACCUUGACGGUACCUCACCAGAAAGCCACGGCUAACUACGUGCCAGCAGCCGCGGUAAUACGUAGGUGGCAAGCGUUGUCCGGAAUUAUUGGGCGUAAAGCGCGCGCAGGCGGCUUCUUAAGUCUGAUGUGAAAUCUCGGGGCUCAACCCCGAGCGGCCAUUGGAAACUGGGAAGCUUGAGUGCAGAAGAGGAGAGUGGAAUUCCACGUGUAGCGGUGAAAUGCGUAGAUAUGUGGAGGAACACCAGUGGCGAAGGCGACUCUCUGGUCUGUAACUGACGCUGAGGCGCGAAAGCGUGGGGAGCAAACAGGAUUAGAUACCCUGGUAGUCCACGCCGUAAACGAUGAGUGCUAGGCGGUAGGGGUUUCCAUGCCCGUAGUGCCGAAGAAACCCAUUAUCCCUCCGCCCGGGGAGGUCGGGCGCCAGGGUUUAACUUCAAGAAUUUGAAGGGGCCCCCCCCACCUUUGGCCCAUUUUGUUCAUACCAGCCUCGCCCAAAACUUUUCCCGGGUUUGGGCCCUUUUGACCCCGGGGAAUAAUGGUUCCCUCUCGGGAAAAGAACGAAAGGUCCCCCGUUUUUUUCCUCCCUCCAAAGAAAGGUUUGUCAGGGAAGGGCCUUCCC